rnacentral:rRNA from 1 species
AACUUUUCGAAUCGCAUGGCCUCGUGCCGGCGAUGAUUCAUUCAAAUUUCUGCCCUAUCAACUUUCGACGGUAGUGUAGCGGACUACCGUGGUCGUAACGGGUGACGGAGAAUUAGGGUUCGGUUCCGGAGAGGGAGCCUGAGAGAUGGCUACCACUUCCAAGGAAGGCAGCAGGCGCGUAAAUUACCCAAUCCCAACACGGGGAGGUAGUGACAAUAAAUAACAAUGCAGGACUUAUCAAAGUCUUGCAAUUGGAAUGAGUACAAUUUAAACCCCUUAACAAGGAACAAUUGGAGGGCGAGUCUGGUGCCAGCAGCCGCGGUAAUUCCAGCUCCAAUAGCGUAUAUUAAAGUUGUUGCAGUUAAAAAGCUCGUAGUUGGAUUUUGGGUUAUGGGAGGCCCGGUCUGCUGCAGGUCAGUGUGUACUGGCUUCCCUAACCUUCCUUCCGGUUGCUACCCUCUGCUCUUUAUUGAGUGGGGGGUUCAGCUCCGGAUCGUUUACUUUGAAAAAAUUAGAGUGUUUAAAGCAGGCCUCCAGCGCCUUGAAUACAUUAGCAUGGGAUAAUAGAAUAGGACUCUGCUUCUAUUUUGUUGGUUUCUAGCGGGCGGAGUAAUGAUUAAUAGAGAUAGUUGGGGGUAUUCAUAUUUAAUUGUCAGAGGUGAGAUUCUUGGAUUUACGAAAGAUGAACUUCUGCGAAAGCAUUUAUCAAGGAUGUUUUCAUUAAUCAAGAACGAAAGUUAGGGGAUCGAAGACGAUCAGAUACCGUCGUAGUCUUAACCAUAAACCAUGCCGACCAGGGAUUGGGAGACGUUACAUGGAUGACUCCCCCAGCACCUUGCGAGAAAUCAUAAGUCUUUGGGUUCCGGGGGGAGUAUGGUCGCAAGGCUGAAACUUAAAGGAAUUGACGGAAGGGCACCACCAGGAGUGGAGCCUGCGGCUUAAUUUGACCCAACACGGGAAAACUUACCAGGUCCAGACAUAGUAAGGAUUGACAGAUUGAGAGCUCUUUCUUGAUUCUAUGGGUGGUGGUGCAUGGCCGUUCUUAGUUGGUGGAGUGAUUUGUCUGGUUAAUUCCGUUAACGAACGAGACCUCAGCCUGCUAAAUAGUUAUGCGAACCUUCUAUACGGGUGAAGCGUUUCGCUGUAGGGGUGCCCUCGGGUGUUUCUGCACGGAGCGUGGAUCCUUGAUGAGUUCGUAGAUAGACUUCUUAGAGGGACUAAUGAUGGAAAAUCAUUGGAAGUUUGAGGCAAUAACAGGUCUGUGAUGCCCUUAGAUGUCCUGGGCUGCACGCGCGCUACACUGAUUGAUUCAACGAGUUUAACACCUUGGCCGAUAGGUCUGGGUAAUCUUUUGAAAUUCAAUCGUGAUGGGGAUCGACGAUUGUAAUUAUUCGUCCUCAACGAGGAAUUCCUAGUAAGCGCGAGUCAUCAGCUCGCGUUGAUUACGUCCCUGCCCUUUGUACACACCGCCCGUCGCUCCUUCCGAUUGAAUGAUCCGGUGAAAUCUUCGGAUGGCGGCAUACGUCCGCGUGGGUAGCUACGCGGUAAUGCUGCCAGAAGUUGAUUAAACCUUAUCAUUUAGAGGAAGGAGAAGUCGUAACAAGGUU